rnacentral:rRNA from 1 species
GAUGAACGCUGGCGGCGUGCCUAAUACAUGCAAGUCGAGCGAACGGACGAGAAGCUUGCUUCUCUGAUGUUAGCGGCGGACGGGUGAGUAACACGUGGAUAACCUACCUAUAAGACUGGGAUAACUUCGGGAAACCGUAGCUAAUACCGGAUAAUAUUUUGAACCGCAUGGUUCAAAAGUGAAAGACGGUCUUGCUGUCACUUAUAGAUGGAUCCGCGCUGCAUUAGCUAGUUGGUAAGGUAACGGCUUACCAAGGCAACGAUGCAUAGCCGACCUGAGAGGGUGAACGGCCACACGGGAACUGAGAAACGGUACAGACUCCUACGGGAGGAAGCAGUAGGGAAUCUUACGCGAUGGGGGAAAGCCUGACGGAGCAAAGCCGCGGGAGUGAUGAAGGUCUUCGGAUCGGAAAACUAUGUUAUUAGGGAAGAACAUAUGUGUAAGUAACUGUGAACAUCUUGACGGUACCUAAUCAGAAAGCCACGGCUAACUACGUG